AAGUCGUAACAAGGUUUCCGUAGGUGAACCUGCGGAAGGAUCAUUAUGAAUUGUGCCUGUUUGCCGCAAGGCGAACGCCACUUUUCUGUGAACUGGAUCCGGUUGUCUCUCUCUCUGUGUUUUUGUUUCUGAAUUUUUGUUUGCUUUUGUUGUUGGAUGCUGGCAAGCGAGUGGAGUGAGUGAAGAGUUGUUGUUGUUGGAUGCGCUUAAUGCCUUUCGCGGGGUGUUGAGUGUGUUUGGCGGCAGUGCUUUUUGCAAGCGAGCACGCGAGUUUGGCUGAAAGCGGCAAGAGUGAGCGAGAAGGAAGCGGGAAUGUUGUGGGGGGGGUUGAUCGGGUUGCAUUUGAAAUUUGUUUUCUGUUGUGUUUUGUUCUCUCAAGUUUUCUUAACUGAAAAAAAAAGACAACUUUCAGCAAUGGAUCUCUUGGCUCUU
rnacentral:misc_RNA from 1 species